rnacentral:lncRNA from 1 species
AACAAGCAGUGAUUUUUGCUGUUAGGCGGUUCCUGGGAUUGCUUGUUUUGGAUUGACUCUAUUCUCUUGCAUUUUUCCUCCCUUCAUACAAGGGAGAGAGAUGCUGUGUAUAGGGAAUUUGUACAGAUGACAUUAGAUCUUUGUUUGAGCCACCUUAUUGUAGUAAAACGUAUUUUUGAAUAGUGUAACGAUGGGAAAUAUUGAAGAAUGUGUGAUUAAAAUGAUAUCAAAUCACUGUUUAAAAAUAAAUUUUUUUCAAGAAUUGUGGAUCAAACAGAUUUGUGUGGAUGACAUUAAAAGAAUCCUUAUGGAAAUUUCUUUUUGGAUGUUGGGCUAAAAAGAGGAAAAAAUGAAAAAAAAUCAGCCACGCGAGUGUUGCACGACAUGUGGCACUUGUAAAACUGGCUGUAUAGGGGG